rnacentral:rRNA from 1 species
UACAGAGGUCUCAAGCGUUGUUCGGAUUCAUUGGGCGUAAAGGGUGCGUAGGUGGGCAGGUAAGUCAGUGGUGAAAUCUCCGAGCUUAACUCGGAAACUGCCAUUGAUACUAUCUGUCUUGAAUUAUCUGGAGGUAAGCGGAAUAUGUCAUGUAGCGGUGAAAUGCUUAGAUAUGACAUAGAACACCAAUUGCGAAGGCAGCUUACUACGGAUAUAUUGACACUGAGGCACGAAAGCGUGGGGGAUCAAACAGG